GUCCCCGUAGCUCAGUGGACUAGAGCGGCCGCCUUCUAAGCGGCGGGUCGCAGGUUCGAAUCCUGCCGGGGACGCCA
rnacentral:tRNA from 1 species